UUUGAAAGAAAAAGUGGGAUUUCAAAAUAAAAGACCAAAUUGUAAAGAAAUGAAAACCCCUCUACAUCUAUCUAUAACCAACGUGACAUGUAUGGAAGAUGAGAGAAUUUUCUACACUUUUCUCCAAAAAUACCUCAUUUAAUUAUUUAAUUAAAAUAUUAAAAUAUCCUAUAAAUUAAUAAAACAAUCAACAAAUCACAAUUAAACACCUUUCAUCCUUAAUUAUUAUACCAUAUAAUUAUCUAAUUUGAGAAAUGGUCAUUUUACCUUUCACAUUUCUUCAAAAUCCUUAAGUCAUUACUCACUUUGAUAAAAUUAUGAUUUAGUCCCUCAUAUUUCUUUCAGUUAUCCAAUUUGGUUCCUCUACCCCAAUUACAUAUCUUAAGAAAUUGGGUUAUUUACUUUUGAUCCUUUAAAUUUUCUCAUAUUUACACUUUAACCCCUUAAAUUUUGAAUAACUGUACUCGUACCUCAAAACUUUUGACAUUAUUACAAUCUAGUCCCUUCCUUAAAUCAACAUUCUUCUUAACUUAAUUUUUUUUUUGGCAUCUCUUACCCCUUUUCUUUUAUCAUCUUUAUAUCUUCUCCACAUUUUACGUGUAAAUCAAUUAUACACUAUUUUAAUUUAAUACUACUUUUAUAAUAUAUAGAUUUUAGGGGUGAUUUUAGGGGUGUCACAUGUUAUCAUUGAGAAAGUCAUAAAAAAUUAUAAGUGUUUAAUAAUUAACCUAAUGAUUUAGGAAAUAGAAUAGAUUUCAAAGACAUUGUGAUACGGGGUUGCGCGCGGACCAAGAUCGAGUUGCCAAGUCACGAGAAACUCCUACGAAAACCCUAAACAAUUAGAUCUAAAACAAAACAGAAAAUUAAAAGAUUAGAUUUUUGAAUUUUCAGAUCUGAAAUAAAAUCCCCAAAACAGUAAAGAAUCAAAUAGAGAAUAGAAAUAAGUGUUAGGGUUCUUGAAACCCUCAAGGAGAUUGUGAUUCUGCCCAAUUGAACACCAAGAUAGUUUUCCCCAAAUUUCGACAAUCUAAUUUCACCCAAAAAGAGUAUAGAAAAACCCUAGAAAUUGGGGAUUUUUGGGCUGAUUCCUUAAGAUAGAAAAAGGCUGAAAACACAAUAAGAACAGAAAAUAGAUUAGAUAAUGAUUCAGCCCAAGUAGAAAUAAAGAAAGAAUUGACAGUAAGAAAUUAAAAGAUAAGUCCUAAGAAGCCUUGAAAUCUCGAAAGAUCUCACAACUCCCUUCAAACGGCUCUAAUCUCCCCUCCAAAGAAUAUCAAUGGCAAGAAGAAGGUUGAAGAUGGCUCCCACAAUCAAAAAGAUUGUUAAAACAACUUCUAAAGAAAACUCAAGAGAGAAAUCUUGGAGAAAACUCAAAGAAAAUUCUGCUCUCAACAAAUCUGAAAAUUUUAAUAAUAAUAAUAAGUGUUUAACAAGGUGGACAGCCAUGCCUUUAAAUAGGCCUUAUAACUAGUCCUAAUCUAAUUAGAAAACUAAAAUAAAAAAACUCCUAAUUAUUUUAAUAUGGAAAUUCGGUCAAAGGUCAUUUUAUCUGGGACUCUUGGACUGAAUAUUGACAUAAAAAUUUAAACUAAGUAAAUAAAUAAAUAAAUAAAUAAAAAUAAAAAUAAAACUUUACAACUUGGGCCACUUUGACAAUUUGGCCUGAUUUUCAACUAAGUAUGGAUGGAUUUCUUGAUUGGGCUGGGAAUUUACUUAUUGGGCCUCGCCUUCAAGAAUUUGGGCUUUUGUGACUCGUAUCAUUCCCCCUUCCUCAAAAAGAUUCGUCCUCGAAUCUGAAAAAUCAAAUGAACUCGACUUUCCUCUAUCGAACGGGACUAAUGGCAAUUGAGUCCACUGAGAAGAAUAGCCAUGAGAUAGUAAAUAGCAACGGAAAUAAGCUUGUAGUCCAAUCAUAAGCAUAAUAGAACAGGUAUAACGCAUGUGAAUAGACAGAUUCAGAUUACCAUGCAAACAAUCUAAUUUACUCACCACUGCCUCGUCAAAUAUUUGAAACAAAGAUGGACAUGUUUUAAGGCAUUCAGUCGUCUCACAUUGUUCCCACAAACCAUGAAUAAAUUGCGAGUAAUAAAUCAAAUGGUAAACAUAAUCGUCACAAGUAGGUAUUUGAAAAGAUUCACAUGGUUCACAGAGUUGCAUAAUCAUACCAUGCAUUAAUCGACGGUCUAUAGAUUCACUCACACAUGCAUUAUCAAAAACAAGAAUCUUUUUAUCAACCAUCAAAACAGAUAGAUCAUCAAUAAAUAAAAUAGGACAGUCAAGCACGUUUCGAUCUAAGUGUUCAUCAACACGAUCUUUAUCACUAUUCGAGGAGUACAAAAGUGUUUCAAAGGUUUCAAGCAUCUUACCUCGAUAAGCAGAAGAAUAAGGGUCGAUUUUACCUUUUUCAUUUAAAACAAACCUUCGCUCAUCGGGGGCAUAGUGUAGUCGAAUCUUCGUUGUUGAGUUAACGUUUGUCAAAUGGAACUCAAACUUCAUGUACAACCACAUAAACUGUUUAAGGCACGAAUAUAAAUUGAAAACAAAUUUGGAAAAUUUCGUUACCUUAUUCUCCAAAACAGAUUUGGACAAAUUCAAGGAUUUUACACAAGGUAAAUCAAGAGAAUAACAAAUCACGCUUCUUUUCGUAAUGACUUUAUCAACCACAAUCGAAGAGUAACAAUUAAUCGGAUCAAAAUGAGGGGAUCUUUUAAGAACUAAGUCACAAAAACUUUUAUCAAUAAUUUUCAAAUCUGCACUGGACUCGGUUUUUAAAAUUUCCUUACCUCGCUUACCUUCGGGAUCAUGUAGUGUGAUUUCAUCUUUACUUAAGUUGAUCGUAUGAAAGCGUCUUUCAUUUAAGAGGUAUUGAAGUUGAAAGUUAUCUUUCGAUCUUUCGGGAACCUGAAAAGUAGCAACACAAGAAAAAUUCAUAUCUUGGUUAGUGGAAACAUUCCUCACUACCAUUUCCACGUCUUUUUCUUUUGUUUCUUUUUCUAAUUCAUUUUCUCUUCUUUCUUCAACUUCUUUUUCAAUUUUCUUUUCUGUUUCACAUUCCUUUUCACUCUCAAUCUCUUUUUGCUCUUUUUCAUUCUCUUUUUCUUUUUCCUCACUUGUUUUAACAGAAUUUCUCAGUUUGAUUUGGUCCUCAUGGACUUGUUCCGGAGUGAGCGGCACUAAGGUGAGUUUCUUUCCUUGAUGCUUGAAAGAAUACCUAUUGGUACGACCAUCGUGAGUGACUUUUCGAUCCAGUUGCCAUGGUUCUCCUAGCAACAAAUGGCAGGCUUGAAUAGGCAUUACGUCGCACACAACUUCGUCUUGAUACUUACCGAUAGAAAAGGCAAUGCGCACUUGUUGAGUGACCCUAAAUUGGCCUUCGUUGCUAAGCCCUUGUAGUGGAUAAGGUUGUGGAUGCUUGGUAGUGGUUAAGCAAAGCUUUUCCACCAUCGUCGUGCUGGCUAUGUUCGAGCAACUUUCACCAUCAAUAAUAACUCUAUAAAGCUUACCUUGUACAUGGCAGCGAGUAUGAAAGAGAUGUUCUCGUUGCUGCUCGCUCUUUGGUUUUGCCAAAGAGGAUUGUCCACGAUCAUGAAAAUCAUCAUCCAUUCUAAGGACACGUCGAGGGCCGCGCCUCUGGGGUUGGUUAUCCCUAUCUUCUUUGAUUGGAUCUCGAUAUUGAGGUUCUUGAUUCAAUUGCACCUCAUUGAUGGUAGCAGUCAAAGCUCGAAGAGCAGCAGCCUGUUCAUCCAACUGUUGUUGGAAUUUUUUAAAUAUGUCACUAUUAUUAUCACCUGUAGACAUUUUUUUUAAAACCUGCAAAACACUCAACACUCAAAAAUAAAAGUUAUCAAACCUCACCGUUAAUCACUCAAAAAGAAAAAAUCAAAUUCUCAAUGAGGUCGAAUUCAAUCUUGUGAGUUCUUUAUCAGAGUUUAUAUCAACCAAUUAGAGAGUGUGAACCAAACUACCAAAGAAUCCUAAUUUGCACUAGGAUGCCAAAAACUGACGAGACACCAAUUGAUUCGUGUUGCACCGAGGAAGAAGUUGUGCACACGUUUAAAUCCUACUAACACAAGAACCAAGAAGGUGUUAGAUAACGUAAAGGAAGAAUAAAGGUAAACAAAUGAAAACCUACAGCUAAGAAUCAAUAAAAAUUGCUGAAAACAGAAAACCCGAAAAACUGCGGAGUAACUUGACAACUUUGUUCGAGGUGUUCCCGAUCUCCAAAAAUCACGAAAUUAAAUCUGGAGUGUCCUUAUAUAUUGAAUUUUUGAUCUGGAAAUUUUGGGCACCAAAUUCAACCCGCUGAAUCUUUUUUUUAAAUUUUUAUUGAAUUUUGUCUUUUUUGAUUUUUUUGACUUUUUGACUGAUUUUUUUGCGGGAAUAAUUUUUUUAUAUUCAAUCACAGUGCCAAAAACAUGUAUGUAAAAUUUCAGAUCAAUCGGACAACGUUUACCCACUCAAAUGAAUUUUUUUUGAACAAUUUUUCUGGGUAAAACUACUGUUUAUGCUUUAAAAAAUAGAGAUCAGUUUAGAAAUAAACCAAGAACACUCAAAACGCCCAAAAUCUGAUACCAAAUGAUACGGGGUUGCGCGCGGACCAAGAUCGAGUUGCCAAGUCACGAGAAACUCCUACGAAAACCCUAAACAAUUAGAUCUGAAACGAAACAGAAAAUUAAAAGAUUAGAUUUUUGAAUUUUCAGAUCUGAAAUAAAAUCCCCAAAACAGUAAAGAAUCAAAUAGAGAAUAGAAAUAAGUGUUAGGGUUCUUGAAACCCUCAAGGAGAUUGUGAUUCUGCACAAUUGAACACCAAGAUAGUUUUCCCCAAAUUUCGACAAUCUAAUUUCACCCAAAAAGAGUAUAGAAAAACCCUAGAAAUUGGGGAUUUUUGGGCUGAUUCCUUAAGAUAGAAAAAGGCUGAAAACACAAUAAGAACAGAAAAUAGAUUAGAUAAUGAUUCAGCCCAAGUAGAAAUAAAGAAAGAAUUGACAGUAAGAAAUUAAAAGAUAAGUCCUAAGAAGCCUUGAAAUCUCGAAAGAUCUCACAACUCCCUUCAAACGGCUCUAAUCUCCCCUCCAAAGAAUAUCAAUGGCAAGAAGAAGGUUGAAGAUGGCUCCCACAAUCAAAAAGAUUGUUAAAACAACUUCUAAAGAAAACUCAAGAGAGAAAUCUUGGAGAAAACUCAAAGAAAAUUCUGCUCUCAACAAAUCUGAAAAUUUUAAUAAUAAUAAUAAGUGUUUAACAAGGUGGACAGCCAUGCCUUUAAAUAGGCCUUAUAACUAGUCCUAAUCUAAUUAGAAAACUAAAAUAAAAAAACUCCUAAUUAUUUUAAUAUGGAAAUUCGGUCAAAGGUCAUUUUAUCUGGGACUCUUGGACUGAAUAUUGACAUAAAAAUUUAAACUAAGUAAAUAAAUAAAUAAAUAAAUAAAAAUAAAAAUAAAACUUUACAACUUGGGCCACUUUGACAAUUUGGCCUGAUUUUCAACUAAGUAUAGAUGGAUUUCUUGAUUGGGCUGGGAAUUUACUUAUUGGGCCUCGCCUUCAAGAAUUUGGGCUUUUGUGACUCGUAUCACAUUGGUAUUGAAAGAAUGGAAGUGAGGUAAAGACCCCAAACUUAUUUUUAAAGGAAUGAUUAAAAGAAUAAAGACUAACAUGGUAAAGGUACGAAGACAUAAGGCUAAAGUCUAAUUAAAAGAAGGUUACAUAUAAAAGGUCUAAGCAUUAAAAGAAGAGUUGUGUCAUAGACUUCAAUUAAAAUUUUGAGAACCAUUCAAUGUUAAGACUGAUAUUUACUAUAUAUGGCACUAUUAGAAUUCAAUCGAGCACUACUGAGCUCUUGUAACUCAGUGCAUAGUUCUUAUUAUCGCGCAUAUGUCGAAGCUGAAAUUUGAGUUUCAGGUUGAGAAGAGUUGCAUGGCCAUUGUCAAGUCACAACCGUAUCUUGACAUACUCCUUUUGUUCUUAUGUUUUGGUUAAAAUUUGUAGAAGCAGCAUGUACAUAAUAAGGAUGUUAAUGUGAGAAUUCAAGCCUUUGUUUUGAUGAUAGCUUGGCAUGUAAUUAAAAAUACCAGGCUAUGGUUAGUAUGUUUAUGAUAUGAAUGCUAUAGUUGGCUGGUCUUUAAUUGUGAUGGACGAUGGAUUGAAAUUAAGACCUUUGAUAGGUCACUAGAUAGAUUGCAAUUUAUAUGAGCAUAGUGAACUUUGAGAUAGUUGUUUAGACGUUAAAACCUAGCCUAAAAACUCUAGAGUGACACCAAAGCUAUGGUAGGAAUUUCUAGCAAGGGAACCUUAAGAUGCCUUACUGAGGCUUCACUGCACCUAGGCAUUGAUAUCUUAAGUCAGGGUAUCAAUACUUGCAACGUCGAAACGAACUUUUGAGAGCACUAUAGUAUUGAUACUUUACCUUUUGAGUAUCAAUACUUAUAAACAAUGAAGCAAGGAUGUAUAAAAAUUAUAUAUUAAUAAUUGCUUGGAAUCUAUAGUUUAAGUGGUGAGAAAGGCAUAUGGAAUAAUUUCCAUGCUAUGGCUACUCUAACUGAUGAUUUAGAAACUUGGUAGACUUCUAAUCAUGCAGGCACAAAAUUUAUCAUAAAGUAACUGAAGUAAUAUUAAAUCAUGUUAGCAUAUUACUAGAUUUUUCACACAUAUACUAAUGUUAUUUCAAUUUGUAGUUAUUUAAAUAAAACUUUAUCUUAAAUAACAAUUAAUUUUAUUUAAAUAAAUCAACUUAAGAUGGUGUAGCUAUUAUUGAUUUAAAAUUUUUAAAAUGACGUAGUAUAUGUAUAAUAUAGAAAAUCACAUACACUAUUUAAUAACAUAUAGUAUAUGCCCAAGACCAUUAUCACUUACAAAAUAAAUGAAUAAUUUUUAUGGCAUCAUUAUGCAUAUUGUAAUUAAAAUUGAAACAACAAAAUUUGUACAACAGAUCUAUUUUGUUAAAUAUAUUCAAUAAAAAAACUUACCAUACCCAUGUCAGAUACAUAAUUGUAUCCAACAAUCACACCUACACAUAUAUUUCUAUUACAAUAAAAAAUAUGAUGAAAUGUGUUUGGAAUUUGGUGUUAUAAUCAUAAGAAUUACUUAUACUUGAGGUUCACUUCCAUGGUUUUUAACUAAUCAUCAUAACAUGAACAUGGAAAUGUCAAUCAGGCAACAUUACAGAUAAAAGAAAUAUUACUAUCUAGAACGCACCUGAUUCAACUUGCAACGCUUUCCAUAGUGGCAAUUCUACAUUUGAUGAGUUACUCAGAAAGUUGAACAAUUUCUUAAGGGAGGAAAGUCUUGAGAGAGAGAGAGAUGGAGAGAGAGAGAGAGAAGUCUUCAAUUGAUAAAAACAAAUCAUUCCAGCACAUAUAUGAUUCUGACUUGGACCCCGGAUGCUUUUUCAGCCAUUCAUCAAAAAGUCGAACCAUUGAAUCCAAAGAAUGACCGCUGCACCAAUAAAAACAAGAAUAGACAUAAGAUGAAUUACUAGAAGUGAUGGAGGAAUUGAAUGGCAAUUGAACUUCAGAGCACCAAUUAAAGUACCAAUAACUCCAUCCAACAGAAAUUAAUCUCGUUUCAUGCAAGUUAUUUAAACGCAAGUCCAAUGGCAUUGCUGUGUUUCAGUAACCUGAUGACAUAACAUGUUUCUUUAGAUCUUAGCAUAUUCAUAAAAUCAGAAGUUCGAAUAUGGAUACACAUUUGCACAUACGAAAAGGCAUGCAAGUGGACAGAUCGCAUGUCUUCCUUUUGGCAUAUAUAGUAAUAGGAUAAUGUAUUUAAGAUAGAUAGAUAGAUAGAUAGAUAGAUACUCUAUGGAAUCAACUUCGAUUGUUCAAGAUACAGUCUUGAGUUGCCCGAAUUGUUUAUCCAGGGAACCUUGUCAUGUAUCCACUCAAGAGAAGUGUAAGAAUUAUGACUCCUAUAGCUUGUCAAUCUUGUAUAUAUGCUACAAUCCAGUCCUCUCAGAUAAACUUGUGCACAGUAAGAUCAUUUAUAUUUUUGAAAAAACAUUUCUUAUUUCUAGGUGUUCCUUCAGUAAGGAGACGACAUCAUGUUACAUAAUCAAACAGGGUAAUCACAUACUAAUCUUUAAAAACCUAUCCAACUGUUAACAGCCAAAAGUGAAUUAGGAUGCUUAACUCCAAGCAUCAUUAUCAGAAUCAGACAGGACAGUUAUUUGUUCAGGGUUUUGAGUUUCAAGUCCAUUAGUCCAACCGUUGGAUCAUUCAAGUCAAUGCUUUGAAUGAAAUGUCAUGUUCCCGAAUGAGCUCGGGGAAGGUAGAGUACAAAAUAGGAGCUGGGUAGGAUGGUUUGACUGCCAGGCCAGUCCAAGUUUUAUAACAGAGAUUUCAAGUGGCAAUGAAAGAAUAUCCCAGUAAAAAAUCCACACAAAUAAGUGCUUAAAAAGCAAGAUAGAUACUUUACUCAAUAUUAUGGAGUGCUAAAAUGAUUACUCUUAGUUUUAACAGGAAAAUAGAUCCAAAGUAAGAUGAAAUUGCUUCAUCUCAUUGAACCCAAAACCAAGAAUUGUUACUCUAUUUUGAAUUUUGCUUAUGCAUAAGAGAUCAAAAUCACAACCACUUUAGAAGGAAAGACAAUAAAUUUCUAAAAGUCACUUGAAAUGAGUAAAACUGAGGCUAGAAAGGUCUUCUUGCAAGUGAUAAUAUCAUCUUUGGCCUCAUUCUGAUGAGUAUGAUGCAAUUUUAUUGCAUGGCAGAGAGUAGAAUCAAACCAAAGCAUAGUUGAAGAAUCAUCAAAAGCCAAAAAGCAUUGUUUGGUUCCAUAGAAUAUCUAAAAUGUGAGAUAUACAAACAAUUUAUUUCUGUUUGCCUCCUACUAUAUUUUGGCUAAAGUUGAGCUCAAAGAAUAUAAAAAUUGGGUAUGAAUGAUAAAGAUUAUGAUUACAACUAAAUAAUUUACAUCAGACAAAGCAUAUAUGCGUUAAAGAUUAUUAUCUGUGAAAAGAAGAAAAUAAUCCAUGAAUACCAUGGAAUGAAAAGAGUAAAAGUAGAGUGAAAAAAAAAGACCUGAACAUCAUAGAAUUUGAUGUAGAAGCGGGAGCUAUCAAUUGAGAGCUUGGUUUGAAGAAUAUCAGCUACAGUUGAACUCAAUUUGGCAUUAACAGAAGGUCCAAGGCCCCCAAUAGAAAUCAAUUCUCCAUAAGCAGCAGGGGCUUCCGUCCCAGCAAAUGCCAUGGGAACUCCGCCAUUAACCAAAAUCAUCACGUACUGUUAACCCAUUUUUACCCCCCCCCCAAAAAAAAUUAACCAAAAUAAAGCCAUUAAAAUUAAAAUAGACAAGGAAAAAAAGAAGUAAAUAAGAACAAACAGAUUCAGGUUUGCCAAUGAUUUUGGCAACAGCUUUGGUGGCGUCCUUAAGGAUGUCAGAGGUGGUGACGGCGUCCACAGGUACGUUGGUGUAUAAAUUCAAGGUGGGCAUUUCCUACUUCUUCUUCUUCUUCUUCCCCUGGUUUUUGGAGUGUUAGCAGUUUAAAUGAAUGAGUGGCUUGAAAUAGAAAUUAUAUUCUUUGCCUACAAUAUGCCGCUCUCCACCAAUACACAUUGCGGCACCGCCCCUUUCGCUUUAAAACAAAACAAAACAAAACAAAAGUGAUGUCAUUUUAUUGAACGUUUUUUUAUUCCGAGAAUUAUAUGUUUUUCAAAUAAUUGUUACAUGUCUGUCAAUCCCUUCUCAAAAUGAUUUUUUUUUUUCCAAGACAACACAUUUAAUUAUUAAAAAAAUUAUAUAAAUAUUUUAUAUUAUUAUGUCAGUGGAUGCUUAUUACAAUAAUAAGUUUGAUUUAUUUUGGGAUUUUAAUGUAACUAAUUAAAAGUGAAGUUUUAUAUUACCUAUAUUUUUUUUAUGUGUAUAAAUAUAAAUUUUAGAGAAACAUGAUAAUUAUAUUUAUUCAUCAAGAAUUAUUUGUUUAUUAUUUUCUUUUUUUAUAAAAGAAUUACUUUUCAAUUUUUUACUUAUAAAAUAUGAUAAAAUUAAUCAUCGAAAUGGGAUUGCAUGGCCAUUAUUUAUAAGAAUAGACAAAGUAAUAGUGAUCCCACGGUGCCACCUGAGCAACUAGUGGCACCACACUCACCUGACAACAAUUUUUGCGUAAUUGAUUAAAUUUUUAAAAAAUAAUAAUUUUUUGUGCCACCUGAACAAACAGUGACAUUGGUAUGUAUCAUGUAAAAAUAUGCCCUUUAAAAGUACAAAUACAUAUCGAAAAAAUUAUUUUUUAAUAGUGUCGUUGACAUGUCAGGCGGCACCGGAAUAAAUUAAUAUACAAUUUCUUUUUUUUAUUUUUUAAAAAAUUAAAAAAAAGACUGAAAAGUCAAAAAUUAGCAGAACCCAUGAUUGACUGGUUACGUCGGUAGCAGGUCGUCAGGCCAUUAUCGCCUGACAGCUUGGCGGCACCAACCUAACGACCUGCCACCGAUCUGACCAAUCAGUCACAGUUAUGUUGAUUUUUGACUUUUCAUGUUUUUCUUUAAUUGUUUCUAUAUUAAAUAUAUAUAUAUUAAUUUUAGUAUAAAAGGGGUGGGUUUGGUCCCCAACCCCCACACAAUUGGUUAAAAAAAAAUGAAAGGUCCCACCCAUAGCCGACUUAAGGUAUGUUAAUUUUUUUUUGUAGGACAACUCCGUCAAACCAUCAAUUUUGAUGGUUGUUGUAGCGAUGUAAAAAUUUUGCUUUGGUUGCUAGUUGAGGCGAUUAUUUGAAAAUUUGAAAACCGACUUGCGAUUUUAUUAAAAAGGGGAGUCGCCACUAAUCCUUUUUUCUAGGUGUGAUCGGACACCUAAUAAAUCAUCUUUUUUUUAAAAGAAUUUUUUUUUAAAAAAAAGAAGGCCGAGUUUAGGUCUACGUUAAAAGCCAGAGAAAGAAUAAGGUUCGGGAGUCGGUUACGCGCGAGGAAGGUAUUAGCACCCUCGCAACGCCCAAAAUUAGUAUCUUAUUAAACAUGUGUUGUCUUAAUUUUUAAAAAUACGAGUUCAAUUUGACAUUUAAUCGUGAUCCGAUUGAAAAAUGAGAAUUUUUAAUUUUCGGCUUUUUAGAAGGGUGACCCGUUUUUAACACGAGCCGACGAAUUUCGCCCAACAUAGCGAUCAAAUCGAUGACUUAAUAUUAAAUCGGUUCAUUGCCUUAUUUAUUGAAAUUAAUAAAAAAAUAUGAAUAAAAAUCUUCAAAGUAGUGAACAACAAAAUGAUAUAAAAUGGGCGGUAAACAAAAAAAUAAAAGAGUUAGAAAUACAUCGAAACAAAUAAUAAAUAUGACAAUAAUAUUAAAAAUAAUAACAAUGUAUGCGAUAUUAAACAUGAUAACAAUAAUAAUAACACGAAAUAGAGACGAGCAUAUAUAUAAACAUAUAAUAAUAAGUGAAGUGCCGUAAACACAAUAUUAAAAAUACUAAUAGUGCUAUAUAUAUAUUAAAAUAUGUACAUAAUAAUAGGAAUGAAAAUUGUAUACAUAAUAAUGCUAAAUAUAUAUAUACAUAAUAUAUAUAAAAUGAACAUAUACAACAUAUAUUGGAAAUACUAAUAACAAAAAAAUACAUAUAUUAAUAAUACUACAUAAAUGUGUAUAUAUAUAUUAAAAUAAAAACAUAAUAUAGUUAUUAAUAUAUAUAUUAUAAAUAAUAAUAAUGUUACAAAACAAUUAUUAAUAACACUGCAUAAACAUAUACAUAUAUAUAUUAAAGAUAUGUACAUAUAUAAUAAACAUAUACUAAUAACAAUAAUAAUUAUAAUAAUAAUAAAAAGAUGUAUAUACACUAAAUAACACAUUAUAAUAUUAAAAUAAAAUAAUAAAUGACAAUAGUGAAAAUAAUAGGUAUAAUAAUAAAUAUAAUGAUAUAUGAAAAUAAUACUAUGUAAAGUAUAUAUACCCAUAUAAUAAAAUAUAUGUACUAAUAUUAAUAAUAAUAUAAUAGGGAUAAAAAUAGAUAUAAUAAUAUAUACAUAAUAUAUAAAAUAUAUAUAAUAUAUACAUAUGUUAGAAAUGAUAAUAAUAUAAAGAAAACUAUUCAUACGCUACAUAAAUACGUUUAUAUAUAUAUUUAUAUAUAUAUAUAAAUGAUAAUGGUGUUAGAAAUAUACAAUAUAGUAUUAGAAAUAUACAUAAAAUAGUAUAAAAGAUAUAUAACUAAUAAUAUUAAAAUGUAUACAUAAUAAUAUAUAUAAAUAUAAUAUUAAAAAUAUAUAUACAUAACAUAUAUGAAAGAUAUAUAUAUCAUAUAGUAUUAAAUAUUUACAAUAUAUACAUAUUAGAAAUAAAAAAACGACUAAUAAUAAUAUUACAUAAAUAUAUACAUAAUAAAACAUAUACUAAUAAUAAUAAUAAUAUAAAUAAUGGUAAAUACAAUAAUAAAUAAUAUUUAAAAAUAAAAAAAUAAAAAAAAUGGAAAAAAAUAAUAUAAAAACCAAAUUAAAUUUGGAAGAAGGACUAAAUUCGAAAAGAAAAUGAAGUUUUGGGGCGAAUUCGAAAUAAAAAGAAAGAGAAAGGGCUUAUUUGAACAAGCGUGAAACGUAGGGGGACCGAAACAGCAAUAUUUCCUUCCCCCCAAAAUGCAGCGCAUCAACGAGGACUAAAUUGAAAAGCGCGAAAAAUUGUGGGGCCAAAUUGAAAAUAAAUCGAAACUUAAUUGCAAAGCAAUAAAAAGCGGAAGGACCACGUGCAUAAAUAAUCCAUUAAACAAAAACACGCGGAUCCUCUAGCGGGUCGGGUCGGACGGAUUAGGUAUAGGCCAAAACGACGUCGUUUUGGGGUUAAAGGGCAGCCCUCAAAAUGACGUCGUUUUGGGAGGCUAUAAAAGGCCAAAUUUUUUGAAAAAAAAAUUAUUUGUAGCAUUUGAAAGAAGAGAGAGAGAGAGAGAGAGAGAGAGAGAGAGAGAAUUCUCUCUGGCCGAGCCCGAGCUCCUGCCUUGAACUCCGGUUGCCGUCCGUCACCGGUCGCCGACCACUGUGCACGGUGGCCGAAAAAUUCAAAAAGGUAUAUAUAUAUUUUUGUAUAUUUUUGUGUAUUUUUAAAAUAUGUGUGUAAAUGAAACAAUAAAGGAAAAUAAUCUAAGUGUGUAGAUAGAUUCGAAAAAAAAAACAAAUGAAUAGAAGGGAAAAUAGAUAAUAAUAAAAAACCUUUCGUUCGAAUCUAUUCUUUUGUUUUAAUGCUUCUUGCUGAGAUUUAAUGCUUCUAUUGGUGUUUGGAUCUAUCUUUUUAUUUGUGCUACUGCUAUUUCUUUUUUGUAUUUCCAAAAGAAAAGAAAAAACCCCUUUACAUUUGAUUUCUGGUGGCUUAUAUAGCCCAUUUCUUUACAAGAUUUCUAUUUUUUUAUGUAUACUGUCUUUUUCCCUUUAAUUUCUGCAGGCGAACGGCGGUGGAGGCAGUGGGCAGGUGAGUGGUGUCAGAAGAGGGCAGUUGGCUGAAAACUUAAGGCGGUGGCUAGCUAGGUUUUUUAGUUUUCUUUUUUUUUAUUUGUUGUGGGCUAGGGUUAAAAGAAUUUUGGGCUUUUGGUUUAAUUGGGUAUUGGGUAUUGGGUUUUGUUGUUGGGUCAAAAUUGGGCCUCAAUUGUUGUAAUUCAAAUGUUUUGAAUUUUUGUAAUGUAUAGUUUAAACUUUUUAAUUUUAUUUCACUAUAACGUUUGAC
rnacentral:lncRNA from 1 species